rnacentral:tRNA from 1 species
GCGAAUUGUAGUUUAAUUAAAUAUUAACUUUGGAAGUUAAAGAUCGGGCUUUAUAUGCUCGCAUUUCAA